rnacentral:lncRNA from 1 species
UUUCUUUAAGAACGGCGUGAACGUAUGAUAUGCUCGAACACGCAAAACAUAAAAGUUUUUCCGCGAUGUAAAUUAUAAUAAUUGUAUCUUGUAUUCCUUUUUCUUAUCGUAGAAAGAAUCUGGUUACUGCUGGCACCAAAGGGUAGAUUUAAAAAAGAGUAUGACGAAAUAACUCCACAUUUUAAGGACAUUUUUGUACAUUCUAUUAUUUGGAUGGACGAUCUUCCAGACGAAGCAACUCUGGUAAUUCAGUUGAGCCCAGCGUCUGGCUUGUUUGAAGUGUGUUUGGCUAGCCGGAAAGAAGAAAAUCUCCCGCUAAGAGGUGACGUCAUUGUGAGCGGGACAGCAUGUAUAUAUGAGAAAAAUUUCGAAAAAGAAAGAUGGCGUUGCGAGCUCCCACCUGUGACUUCAAUCAGGAGAACACUUAACAUUCAUGAUUUGAAGAAUGCUUAUGGAGCUAAAGGCUAUGAUUUGAGCCCAGAGUUUCAGAAUAACAUUAGCGAACUCCAAAUAUAUGACGAAGUUUCCAAAGGAAAGUUCAUUUGGAAGAAAAACUGGCAGAGUGUGAUUGAUGGCGUCAUCAAAGCCGGGCUGUUGAUCAACGUUGAUGACACAGCGGUCAGCUGUCCCGUGGCUAUUCAGUCCCUCAUCAUCAAACCGGACGAUAUAAAACUGAUGGACUACGGUUCUGAGAUCGAAUUUACUCUGGAUCGACGUCAAAAUGUGCUAGUUGCUGCGGAGGGUAUCGAAAUGAAAGGGCUCAUUUUCAAGGCUCCACCAAAGAGGGCAUCCGUCUCUCAGACCUUAGAAUGUAGAGCAUUUUUACCGUAUUUUACUUCAAACUUUCAGGGAGACGAAGAGUUUUUCAGAGCAGCUCUGGAAAUAAUCAGUGACUCGUGUCCAAGCCAUAAA